AUGUUACUGAAACCUUAAAACGAAUAUGUAUAAAUAUUUUUAAAAAAGAUUAAAAGUAACUUCUAACUUAGUUUUUAACUUUAAGGUAAUGUCCAGCAUUUAAAGAUAUACCUAUUCAGAAUUUGACUACUAUACAAAAUCAACCGAAGAAUUAUUUAUUCUACCAGUCUCAAAACAUAUAAAGUAAUACUAUUGCCAAUACUUUUUCUUAAAAUUGUCUUCACUGAUAGCUCAUUAUUUAUUAUUGCCAACCAAUAGCCUAUACGUUACUGCUACCACACAAAGAUUAUUACAGGCACCUAUACAACCUAUUGCAGUCCCUGAAGGUUGAUUAAAGGCCUUUUGAUAGCAAACAGUAGCCCCUUAUGGAUUAUUACCAGCCUCUUGUGCAAUAUUUUACAGCUUAAAAUAACUACUAAAUCAAAUACUGUGUUGUAUUAGAUUCAAUUAGUUACCUACUCUAAUUUUUCACUACACUACUUGUCCGUAGAUUUGCCUAACUCAUUUUGAUCAUGACUUACAAGAAUACUUUCCAAUGUUUAAUGGCCUAAUCUACCUUUGAAUUUAUUUAAAAAGUUAAGAAACAACGUAUGGGUUAUGUAAGUGUAAAAUGUAGAACUAAUGAAUUUAAGGAACAUUUUCAUUUUUUUUUAGAUAUUAUAUUUAUUCUAGGAUACACCAAAUGUGAUAAAUACUAAAUAUUGAAGCUAAUUAUUUGUCAAGAAUGAAUCACAUUAUAAAAACAUUGAACGAGUAGUUUAUUAGAUGAAUUAUGUUAUUGUUAAAAAAAUAAUAAGCAUUUACCAUUAAUUUUAUCUCCCAUUCAAAAUUGUUAGUAACAAUGACUAGCAAUAAUAAAACCCAGUGUAUAGUUAUAUUAAAUUAUAAUUUGGUAUAAUAAAUACUUACAUAAAAAAAUGUGUAAUUGAACAAUGGAAACGUUGACAUAAUUUAAAUUGGCUUGGUGAUGAACAUAGUACUAUAAAACCAACAUUUAACUAUUUAAGUGCAAUUUUAAAGGAUUAAAAUAUACAAAAAGAGUUUAAAUAUAAAGAAUGAUUAUCUACACAGUAAUAGAGUACGAGGUACGUCCACAGACCUUAUACUAAGUUUAAAGAUAUACUCAUGAUAUAAUUAACAUGCU